GACGAACGCUGGCGGCGUGCUUAACACAUGCAAGUCGAACGAUGAAGCCGGAGCUUGCUCCGGUGGAUUAGUGGCGAACGGGUGAGUAACACGUGAGCAAUCUGCCCUUGACUCUGGGAUAACUGCGGGAAACUGUAGCUAAUACCGGAUACGACACCUUGGGGCAUCCCAGGGUGUGGAAAGAAUUGCGGUCAAGGAUGAGCUCGCGGCCUAUCAGCUAGUUGGUGAGGUAAUGGCUCACCAAGGCGACGACGGGUAGCCGGCCUGAGAGGGUGACGGGCGACACGGGAACUGAGACACGGUACAGACUCCUACGGGGGGCAGCAGGGGGGAAUAUUGCACAAGGGGCGAAAGCCUGAUGCAGCAACGCCGCGUGAGGGAUGAAGGCCUUCGGGUUGUAAACCUCUUUUAGCAGGGAAGAAGCGAAAGUGACGGUACCUGCAGAAAAAGCACCGGCUAACUACGUGCCAGCCGCCGCCGUAA
rnacentral:rRNA from 1 species